GACGAAUGCUGGCGGCGUGCUUAACACAUGCAAGUCGAACGGAAAGGCCCUGCUUGCAGGGUACUCGAGUGGCGAACGGGUGAGUAACACGUGGGUGAUCUGCCCUGCACUUCGGGAUAAGCCUGGGAAACUGGGUCUAAUACCGGAUAGGAGCCAUUUUUAGUGUGAUGGUUGGAAAGUUUUUUCGGUGUAGGAUGAGCUCGCGGCCUAUCAGCUUGUUGGUGGGGUAAUGGCCUACCAAGGCGGCGACGGGUAGCCGGCCUGAGAGGGUGGACGGCCACAUUGGGACUGAGAUACGGCCCAGACUCCUACGGGAGGCAGCAGUGGGGAAUAUUGCACAAUGGGCACAAGCCUGAUGCAGCGACGCCGCGUGGGGGAUGACGGCCUUCGGGUUGUAAACUCCUUUCGCUAGGGACGAAGCUUUUGUGACGGUACCUAGAUAAGAAGCACCGGCUAACUACGUG
rnacentral:rRNA from 1 species